rnacentral:ncRNA from 2 species
CGCUUAUAAAGAAAGACGGAGGGAUUAGACCCUACGAAGUCUUAGCAACCUGUGCUUACAAGGUGCUAAAUUCUACUUGGGAAUAUAUACAAGAAAUCCCGGGACAGAUAAGUG